GAGAGGGCUCUGUCGUUGAUACCAGGAGAGGACUCUGUCGUUGAUACCAGGAGAGAGCUCUGUCGUUGAUACCAGGAGAGGGCUCUGUCGUUGAUACCAGGAGAGGGCUCUGUCGUUGAUACCAGGAGAGGGCUCUGUCGUUGAUACCAGGAGAGGGCUCUGUCAUUGAUACCAGGAGAGGGCUCUGUCGUUGAUAGUUAUUCUGCAUACAGUCUUCAACUUCCACCUCCAGCUGCCAACAUUUAUGUAUCUGGCAAUUACUAGAUGACAUGACAGAGAGAGAGAGACAGAUAGAAGAGAAAGAUAGACAGACAGGAGUAAUAGAGAGGCAGACAGGAGAGAGAGGCAGACAGGAGAGAGAGGCAGACAAGAGAGAGAAGCAGACAGGAGAGAGAAGCAGACAGGAGAGAGAAGCAGACAGGAGAGAGAGAUAGAGACAGAUUGAGACAGACAGGAGAGAGAGAUAGAGACAGAUUGAGAGAGACCGAUUGAGACAGACAGGAGAGAGAGACAGAGAGAGAGACAUAGCGACAGACAGGAGAGAGAGAGAUAUAUAGCGACAGACAGGAGAGAGAGAGAGAGAUAUAUAGCGACAGACAGGAGAGAGAGAGAGAUAUAUAUAUAGCAACAGACAGGAGAGAGAGAGACAGAGACAGACAGGAGAGAGAGAGAGAGAUAUAGCAACAGACAGGAGAGAGAGAGAGAUAUAUAGCGACAGACAGGAGAGAGAGAUAUAUAUAUAUAUAUAGCGACAGACAGGAGAGAGAGAGAGAUAUAUAGCGACAGACAGGAGAGAGAGAGAUAUAUAGCGACAGACAGGAGAGAGAGAGAGAGAGAGAUAUAUAGCGACAGACAGGAGAGAGAGAGAUAUAUAGCGACAGACAGGAGAGAGAGAGAUAUAUAGCGACAGACAGGAGAGAGAGAGAUAUAUAGCGACAGACAGGAGAGAGAGAGAUAUAUAGCGACAGACAGGAGAGAGAGAGAGAUAUAUAGCGACAGACAGGAGAGAGAGAGAGAUAUAGCGACAGACAGGAGAGAGAGAGAUAUAUAGCGACAGACAGGAGAGAGAGAUAUAUAGCGACAGACAGGAGAGAGAGAGAGAGAGAGACAGAGACAGACAGGAGAGAGAGAGAGAUAUAUAGCGACAGACAGGAGAGAGAGAGAGAUAUAUAGCGACAGACAGGAGAGAGAGAGACAGACAGACAGGAGAGAGAGAGAGAUAUAUAGCGACAGACAGGAGAGAGAGAGAGACAGAGACAGACAGGAGAGAGCGACAGAGACAGACAGGAGAGAGAGAGAGACAGACAGGAGAGAGAGAGAUACAGUGUUCCUCUGGUAUCCAACAGACAGUCUGACCUCCUGGUCUUCAGAUGUCUGACACUUUAUUCUCUACAUCUCUAAGUCCAUAAAGUACUUCAUGUGAUGACACAAAUGCUCUGUUUGGUAAGAUCUAAGUAAGAUGUCAUUCUAUAAUCGUGCUGUGUGUGUGAAGGGGACUGUGCCUCAGUGUGAAGGACUGUGCCUAAGUUUCUCAGAAGCUAAUCCCUAAACUGUAUUCAAAAUAGAGCCUUUCAGCUGCCAGCCACUGUGAACUGAUUCCUGCCCUCUGCUCUGACACGUGGGUGGCCAAGCGUCCUCUUGGAGAGCCUUUCAGCUGGCAGCCACGGGGAACUGAUUCCUGCCCUCUGCUCUGAGACAUGAGUGGCCAAAUGUCCUCUUGGAGAGCCUUUCAGCUGCCAGCCACUGUGAACUGAAUUCUACCCUCUGCUCUGACACGUGCGUGGCCAAGCGUCCUCUUGGAGAGCCUACAUAGACAUUUUAAAAACC
rnacentral:lncRNA from 1 species